rnacentral:tRNA from 1 species
AAAAGAUUAGUACCUAUAAUGGGGUAUUACUAGCUUGAAACUAGGAGGGGGGGGUUCGAAUCCCCCAUCUUUUG